CUUGGAUCCUUGUUGGGGUGGACGAGUUACCUCCUUCUUGGGAACCUGUUGCCACGCCAAACUUCGAUAUGUAUCCAAAGGGGUCCCCAAAGUACAAUCUCAUGAAAGCAAGUGGGAAAAAAGCUUCACACGGUGCCAAGAAGCCAUCACCCAAAAUUAAAAAGACACCUCCAAGAGUUAAAAAGCCAAGAGCUCAAUGGAACCCAUCUUUGGAAAAGUGUUUG